rnacentral:rRNA from 1 species
GCUUGUCUCAAAGAUUAAGCCAUGCAUGUCUAAGUAUAAACUUUUUUACGGUGAAACUGCGAAUGGCUCAUUAAAACAGUUAUAGUUUAUUUGAUGGUCGCUCACUACAUGGAUAACCGUGGUAAUUCUAGAGCUAAUACAUGCGUCAAAACCUGACUUCUUGGAAGGGUUGUGUUUAUUAGACUUAAGCCAAUAUUCCUUGUGUCUAUUGCGAUGAUUCAUAAUAACUGAUCGAAUCUCAAAUUUGAGAUAAAUCAUUCAAGUUUCUGCCCUAUCAGCUUUCGAUGGUAGUGUAUUGGACUACCAUGGCAGUAACGGGUAACGAAGAAUUAGGGUUCGAUUUCGGAGAGGGAGCAUGAGAAACGGCUACCACAUCUAAGGAAGGCAGCAGG